AAGUCGUAACAAGGUCUCCGUAGGUGAACCUGCGGAGGGAUCAUUACUGAGUGAGGGCCUUCGGGCUCGACCUCCAACCCUUUGUGAACACAACUUGUUGCUUCGGGGGCGACCCUACCGUUUCGACGGCGAGCGCCCCCGGAGACCAUCAAACACUGCAUCUUUGCGUCGGAGUUUAAGUAAAUUAAACAAAACUUUCAACAACGGAUCUCUUGGUUCUG
rnacentral:misc_RNA from 1 species